rnacentral:rRNA from 1 species
AUGGUACUCUUCAAAUGCCGUUGGUUUGACCCCAUCAAGGGUGUGAAGCCAAAUGCGAAAUUAGGUUUGGUGGAGAUAAAGUGGUCUUCAAGGCUAUGUAAUUUUGAACCAUUUGCCAUGGCUCACCAAGCUACACAAGCUUAUUACUUGCAUUACGCAUCCUCCAGGAGAGAUCUUCGUGAUUGGAGGGUUGUUUACACUAUUCAGCCAAGUACCAACUUGAGUAACUUUGAGGACUGCGCAAAUGACCCAUCUGCUACAGAUGAAUAUUUCCAGGAACGUGGUCAGCUGGGUUGUUAUUCUGUAGAUGGUGGCAAAUUUGUUGAUGAAUCUACUGAGCCAAGAAAGGAGUCAGAUGAUGUGGAGCUUGAUCCCUCUAAAAUUUAUGUAAUAGAAAAUCAAGGCAAUAAUUAUGAGGGAGAAGAAUCUUCAGAAGAUGAAUUGGACGAGAGUACUGAUGAGGAAGAAGAAGAUUUACCUGAAGAGGAAGGACAAGAAGAGACAUAUGAGACCGAAGAUGAGGAUGAUGCAAUAGAGCAUGACUCUGAAUAUGACGAUGAUGAUUACUGA